rnacentral:lncRNA from 1 species
CCGGUCCUUCAAGUUGUUCCCCACAAGGUAUGAAUCAAACAUGUGCUAUUCGGUUAUAUUUUUGGAAAUCGACCACAAGGUUAUUCAUUUUUUUCUUGUUGCAAUUGGGAUGUAGAUGUACAUGGACGAGGCACAAACCCAUUGCCCACGCCAAUUGAAUUGGGAGUUGACACAGGACGUUCACAGCCUCCAGGUACGUGCAUUAUUAAUGAGCGAUUCUACACAUGUUACUGCCUGGUCAUUGUACGAUUCUUGAGUUCGGAGAUGUAAUGUGCUCUCAUGACGUCACUGUUGAUUUCCACAGUCGGAGCAUACAGUCCUCCAUGCAGAGACGAGGGGGAGCUGCUUGUCGAAACUGAAGACUUGCCAGGUAUGUGGAUAUUUCAUGCACAAUUCGAAACAUAUUAUUUCAUUGAGUACGCAUGUUGAGAAACAUGACAUAAAAAAUGUGCUCACAUUAUUUUACUGUUGUUGUCAAUAGAGGGAGCUGACAUUGCACCAUGCCCGGACGUUGAGCACGAGCCGUUGUCCACUCCAAUGUACGACCAGGAAGGUAUUGUGUCCAUUACAAGCACUUUUCGCAACUUCAUGUCAUUGCAUUUGGUUCCUAAUGUUUCGUCGAAUGCUAUGCAUUUACGUAUUUUCUGUUAAUAAGACGGAGCUGCCACAGAGCCCUCAGAUGCGGCCGCGGUCAGCGAUGCAGAGAUUGACGGUUGCAACGUCACAGAUGGCGAAGAUAAGUUCAUUGCAUGCGUUACUACUGUGUAUAAUACGUAUGGUUAGUGAAUGUCAUUGACGGUAACUCACUGGGCCCCUUCCGUUGUUAUGUAGGUGUUGUCGCUACCGUACCUGUUCCCGCUGCUGACGUACCUAUUCUCGCGCCUGUACCAGAAGGAAGAGGUCGAGUUUCUACGACCAGACGGCGCUCCGCCCGGCUACGACGUCCCGCUCCUGCGACGAGGACUUCGUACGCGAGGGGGAGGGGAAAGACUUUGAAGAAGUAAUUGUGAAUGAAGUGGCGGGAUGGCAGGACGAUGGGGUUGUUUUUGGUUUUUGCUUACCUGCCGAGGCGUGCAGAUGAUGAACGUAGUAGACUUGAACAAUUAAUCACUCGCUUUUACGUUUAUUCUAACAUUGACGCUUUACAUUUUCAUUUGACAUGUGCGUUGGAAUUUUGACAAGCGUCCCACAUUUUGCCUUGCCUUAAGUUAUGACAUAGUCUGACACCUUGUUUAUGUCUUCUAUUACGUGAACAGUGGGAACCUAAAUUGACAUGAUAAGCAUUUUUCUGAAAUUUGGAAAAUGAUCUUUGCAUUCUCG